UAGCAGAUGUGUGAUCACGCAAUUGUCCAGGACAACCUGUCCAAUUAUCCAGUGCUGAAGGUUGACUUGAGGUGCCACCACAACACCCGCACCAGUACUGCCAAGACUAGCAAAAACACCUCCUGCCCUGCAUUUAUGUACCUGAUUCUGAAAAGACAGACGUAUAGUAAAGGGCGGAAGUCAAGGUCUGAAGACCCCCACAUCAAGGAGGGGUACUACUUCCAUGUUGUUGUGAAAAACAGCCACAACCACUGUGUGCCCUUUGCGGCAGUCUCGGCUAAGAGAGAUGUCUCAAAAGAGACCGAAGGAAAAACUGAAGAAACUCUUUGAAAGUGGCCGGUUGCCAGGAAUCUCAUGUAACGGAGGCAUCAAACAAAAGCAAAUCUACGUCAACUAAACUAGACAUUAAACCCUCCUUCAGGUGGAGGGGAUGCCCAAACUGAGUUCUGUGAGGACUUUCCUCCAGAUGACACAUGAGUCAAUAUCACUAUGAAGUGCCUUUGGUGUCCUCAUCAGACUCACUCAGUCAUCAUGAAAAUGUAGCAGAAUAAUGAAAGUUUGAGGUCUUAUUAUAAGUGGCCAAACAUUUGCACACAUAUCAGUACAAUGAUAAGUCUCUUAAAAUGUGUUUCCUUCAUU
ensembl:lncRNA